UCUCUCUCUCCUCCCAGUCCCUCCCUCCCCGUCUCUCUCUCUCUCUCUCUCUCUCUCUCUCUCUCUCUCUCUCUCCCUCUCUCCCUCCCUGUGUCUCCGUCUCCAGGUGCGUUUCUCCUCCCAGUCUCUGUUUGACCACCUGAUGCUGAUUCAGCAGGAUGCAGCAGCGCUGGGACAGUUUAGUGAAGCACUGCUGCAUGUCUUCAGAGACAACCUGAGAAAUGACAGGGUGUCUAUCCCCUUCCUGAAGAUGCUGGACCAGAUGCUGGCUAGAGCCUGUUUUGACACCUUCACUACAGACCAGGAUCAUCAGUUCUGUGUGGACUUGUUGUCUCUCUGUAAGGAAGAGAUUAAGAAGUCCAAGGACACUCAGAAGCUCCGCUCCGCCAUCGCUGUGUUCUGUGGUCUGAUCCAGUUCCAGGGAGAGGUCCGUAAGAAGGUUCUGUUCCAGCUGCUGCUGCUCCUCUGUCACCCCUUCCCUGUGAUCAGGAAGACCACAGCCAGCCAGGUGUAAUCUCUCUUUCUCUCUCUCUUUCUGUCUUUCUCUUUCUCUCUCUUUCUCUCUACAGAUCAGGAAGACCACAGCCAACCAGCUGUAAUCUCUCUUUGUCUUUACUGAUCAGGAAGACCACAGCCAACCAGGUGUAAUCUCUCUUUCUCUCUACAGAUCAGGAAGACCACAGCCAGCCAGGUGUAAUCUCUCUUUCUCUCUACAGAUCAGGAAGACCACAGCCAGCCAGGUGUAAUCUCUCUUUCUCUCUACAGAUCAGGAAGACCACAGCAAGCCAGGUGUAAUCUCUCUUUCUCUCUCUCUUUCUGUCUUUCUCUCUCUUUCUCUUCACAGAUCAGGAAGACCACAGCCAGCCAGGUGUAAUCUCUCUUUCUCUCUACAGAUCAGGAAGACCACAGCCAGCCAGGUGUAAUCUCUCUUUCUCUCUACAGAUCAGGAAGACCACAGCCAGCCAGGUGUAAUCUCUCUUUCUCUCUACAGAUCAGGAAGAC